rnacentral:rRNA from 1 species
GGACGAACGCUGGCGGCGUGCUUAACACAUGCAAGUCGAACGCUGAAGCUCAGCUUUUGUUGGGUGGAUGAGUGGCGAACGGGUGAGUAACACGUGAGUAACCUGCCUCCUUCUUUGGGAUAACGCCCGGAAACGGGUGCUAAUACUGGAUAUUCACUGGUCUUCGCAUGGGGGUUGGUGGAAAGGGUUUUUCUGGUGGGGGAUGGGCUCGCGGCCUAUCAGCUUGUUGGUGGGGUGAUGGCCUACCAAGGCUUUGACGGGUAGCCGGCCUGAGAGGGUGCCCGGUCACAUUGGGACUGAGAUACGGCCGAGACUCCUACGGGAGGCAGCAGUGGGGAAUAUUGCACAAUGGGCGCAAGCCUGAUGCAGCGACGCCGCGUGAGGGAUGGAGGCCUUCGGGUUGUGAACCUCUUUCGCUCAUGGUCAAGCCGCAACAAUGGUUGUGGUGAGGGUAGUGGGUAAAGAAGCGCCGGCUAACUACGUG